GUUUUUUUUUUUUUUUUUUUUUUUUUUUCUUUUUUUUUUUUUUUUGCAAA
rnacentral:ribozyme from 17 species